rnacentral:ncRNA from 1 species
CGGCCACAGCCUAGUCUGGUGUAGAACUUCUAAUUGAGUCGCCACGGCAGGUUGUGCUCGAGUCGUAGUUUGAUGAUACAUGUGGUUAUUUGACCGCAGGGCAAUGUGGCGUUUAGGUUUAUUCUUGGCAUUACUGCUCUGCCCCAGGUCCAGCAAUGAGUACGGCGUACCGUUCUACCCUAAACAGGGUGAAAGACCCAUUAUAGUGGAGACCAAGCACGACAAUUUUGUCCAAAGUUAACCCUGGAGUCGGGUUGUUUGAGAUUGCAGCCCAAAGUGGAUGGUAAACUCCAUCCUAGGCUAAAUACUUGCACGAGUUCGAUAUUAAACAAGUACCGUGAGGGAAAGUUGGAAAGUACUUUGAAGAGAGAGUAAACAGUACGUGCAACCGCUUGGAGAUGAGGGGUGGAGUUGAACUGCGAUCCUUGGGAAUCCAGCUGAUGAGCAUGAUUUGUACUUAGGCAUAUUGACCGCCCUUCAGUGUCUGCUUAACUGCGGGUGCCUGCCUCUUGUGGGUAUGUGUGGUACUCUUAUCAUGCGCCAAACGCACUGGAGGGUGUUUGAGUCUGCUUGUCAGUGCACUUUCUCAGGGUGUUCACCACGACCGGCACUGCUGUCUGUCUGCUGUUGUCAAACUGAUCAGGUCUGAUUACCGUUGGGCUUGGUUGGAUUGGCAUGUGACCUACUGGUCCUUUCUGUGGGCCGUGAGUG